rfam:Hordeum vulgare subsp. vulgare, WGS project CAJW01000000 data, contig: morex_contig_112363
AUAAUACUCCCUCCGUCCCAAAAUUCUUGUCUUAAAUUUGUUUAGAUAUGAAUGUAUCUAGUUAUAUUUUAGUAUUUUGAUACAUUCAUUUAUAGACAAACCUAAGACAAGAAUUUUGGGACGGAGGGAGUACGAC